GCAAAUGAAAAGAAGGAGGAACAGAAGAGGAAGGACUACUACCGUAUUAGCGAUGAGCAUAAGAGGAAAAGGAAAUGAAAAUGCUGUGGCUGAAAGCAACCGUCCAGCAAGUGACUAGGAUGUUGCAGCUAUGAGCUUCCCAGUUGUCACUAUGCAAUAUUUAGAAAUAUUCACCAAAUAUAUUUAGGUUAAUUAUUAAGCUCAUCAUUCUCUCUCUCUCUCUCAUAUAUUUAGAAAUAUUCACCAAAUAUACUUAGGUUAAUUAUUAAGUUCAUCAUUCUCUCUCUCUCUCAUAUAUUUUGUAUUUGUUUACAAAUGUAAAAAAAUAUAUAAUUUAGAAUUAUUA
rnacentral:lncRNA from 1 species